CUUGCCUGUGACAGGGUUCUGAAACUAGAUGAUCUUUAAAGGUCCUUUCCAGCCCAAACCAUUCCAUGAUUCCAUGAAGUAUUGUGUAAAAAGGACUGCCCCAGACACCAGUACAUCUCUAGGAUCACUGGUUUCACUCUGUUGGUUCCUUUGGAAUGCAAAUGUGCUACAGACAGGCAAAAUGUGAGAAAUUCCUAAGGGGUUAUCUAUGAGCCAGCAUGGAGGAAGAAUAGAAAACCUACCUUAUUGUGUGUAAAAGAAAUCUGGCCCAAGUUACCCAGCAGCUGUUUCCCAUGUAUGCAAAUGACCUUGCCUGGAGUUAGAAAGCACAUUUUGCACAUACUAUGAAAGUGGAUAAAAAAUAUUUCCACAAAAUUCUUGGCUUAAGAAGAAGAUUGAGACAUCAUUUGCAGAGAGUCCUUCAACUGUUUUUGUGGAACUCGCAGAUUUGUUUUGUAGGAAUAAAACACAAAAUAACUUUUGAUAAA